UUACUUACUCCGUGAAUCGG
rnacentral:snRNA from 1 species